AUGGCCAUAUCUAUUGUCUGUGAUGAAUACUUCCUACCCUCCCUGGAAAUCAUCAGUGAAUCCCUUGGAUUGUCUCAGGAUGUUGCAGGCGCAACUUUCAUGGCAGCGGGUAGUUCAGCUCCUGAAUUAGUUACUGCUUUCCUAGGUGUAUUUAUCACAAAGGGAGAUAUUGGCAUUAGCACCAUCCUUGGAUCUGCAAUUUAUAAUCUCCUUGGCAUCUGUGCUGCCUGUGGUUUGCUAUCUAAUACGGUCUCAACACUAUCAUGUUGGCCCCUCUUCAGAGACUGUGCAGCGUACACAAUUAGUGUAGCAGCAGUUCUUGGUAUAAUAUAUGACAACCAAGUUUACUGGUAUGAAGGGGCUUUACUGCUUUUGAUAUAUGGAUUGUAUGUUUUGGUGCUGUGUUUUGACAUUAAAAUUAACCAAUAUAUUAUAAAGAAAUGCAGUCCUUGCUGCGCCUGUCUUGCCAAAGCUAUGGAGAGAAGUGAACAACAGCCACUGAUGGGCUGGGAAGAUGAAGGUCAACCAUUCAUUCGUCGGCAAUCAAGAACUGAUAGUGGAAUAUUUUAUGAAGAUUCUGGCUACUCUCAGCUCUCUAUAAGUUUACAUGGUCUUAGUCAGGUUUCUGAAGGUAAUCACUAAAUCUUGCCCAUUAUUAAGUCUAUUCGCAAAGGAAAAACUUUAAAAUUUCAUUUCAAUUCAGCAAGUAUUGUGUGCUUUUUAUGUAAAAAAGACUGUGAAGACUCAGAAAUGAUAAAGACUAAGUCCCUACCUUUAAGGAACUUCCAAUAUCACAGGAAAUACAAAAUAGCUAAAGUAUGAACGUUAAGUACCAUAAAAAGAGAAAAAUAAAGUGUGACUGUGGUUCAC
rnacentral:sRNA from 1 species